UACGUAGGGGGCAAGCGUUGUCCGGAAUCAUUGGGCGUAAAGCGCGUGUAGGCGGCUCGAUAAGUCCGCUCUGAAAGUCCAGGGCUCAACCCCGGGCCUGCAGUGGGUACGGGCAGACUAGAGUGCGGUAGGGGAGACUGGAAUUCCUGGUGUAGCGGUGAAAUGCGCAGAUAUCAGGAGGAACACCGGUGGCGAAGGCGGGUCUCUGGGCCGUAACUGACGCUGAGGAGCGAAAGCGUGGGGAGCGAACAGG
rnacentral:rRNA from 1 species